rnacentral:snRNA from 1 species
GGAUGUGAGGGCAAUAUGGCUGCGACAUCUGUCACCCCAUUGAUUGCCAGGGUUGAUUCGGCUGAUCUGGUUGGCUAGGCGGGUGUUCCCUUCCUCCCUUACCACUCCAUGUGCGUCCCUCCUGAAGCUGCGUGCUCGGUCGAAGAGGACGACCAUCCCCAAUAGAGGAGGACCAUUCUUCAGUCAAGGGUAUACCAGUAGCUGCACUCCCCUGCUAGAACCUCCAAACAAGCUCUCAAGAGUGUGGCAAAUUCAAUACCUUAUAUCUUUCUCCUGUUCAACAUUUAUGAAUUAUACAUUGAGUU